CCAUUUUGUGUGGGGAGGGAGGCGGGGGCGGACAGGAGGGGGCGGCUCUGCGGCGGGCGGGCGGGCGGGCGGGCAGGCAGGCAGGCAGGGCUCUCCUCACCCCGCUUCGGGGCUGUAAGUGACAGGAGAGACAGCUGGGCUGGCGCUGGCCGAGGUCAGGAAGGGGUCUCCUGUCAGAGCUGGUUAGGCUGAGAACGAGGAGAUUGGGUAGCCGCAGGUGGUGCGCUCUGUGUACCUGUGGGAGCUGGGACUGACAGGGGGCUGAGGCUCAGCUUCUGGAACUGCCCUCGUUACGAGUAAUAAAUGCCUGCUUGGGGCGCUAGGCUGUGGGAGAGGCCCUUUUUCCUUGUUGCAGCUCAUUGUGGUUGGUUUUCAAACUUCCACUUGGAGCUUGUCAUCAUAUACAUGUAUACACGUCCACUGUAAAUGGCUUGUAACGCGCUGUUUGGACAACAAACACCACCUAAAAUUUGAUUUUUUUUUGAUCAAAAAGGGUAAUGCUGUUAACACCGUGAAACACGGCUGCCUGCUUGUGCUGCUCAUUUCUACCAGUGCCCUGUGUAACUGGAUGCCACAUAAAUCCACCUUGGUGAUACCCCAAGCUUCUUAACCUCAUCAGUCCUGUCAGUUGUUUUGUGAUCAUCAUUUUGAAGAGGAAAAAAGCCACACACAAGCAUUGCAUGGUCCCAAAGUGAGAGCUAGAUUACUCACAGGCGCCUGUACACCAGCUGUUCACCUGAUUUCUGCAGGCAUUGCUGCACUUUCCAAAAUCAGUCUGAAGGAUAACGAAGAUGCAGAUACCAUAAUGCAAGUUCGUAAAUGAUACAUUCAAGAGUAUGAUUAAAGUAUUAUUAAAAAGAAGCUGCAGAAGAAAUUCUAGCUUGCCACAUGAGAAUCCUGCAAAAUCUAGCACCUUGCUAAGUUAAAAUGUGGCAGACUGCACUAAGUUUUCAGCACAGCCUUUAUUUGGGACAGUUUGCUCAUCUGUGAUGUGCCACGUCAUGGCCUCUGCAGAAAGGAGGAUAAUGAUGUAACAGGGCUAGUGGCCUUUUAUCACUGCAAUUGUUAUAUUCCAGAGACUUGUUGUCACUUACAGUUACCUUGUGGUGCAUUUCUGCUCCUGGGGGACAGUUUGGAAGAGCCAGAAGCACGCCAUUAACACUCCUGGGUGUCAACAGGCAGCAUCUCCAAGAGCAGAAUUAAGCAAAUAGUUUUGCAGUCUGGUGGUCAUUGUUUUGAGAUGUGACACUGAUGCAGCCCAACAGCUUGCCUAUACAGGACAAAGCAGAGGAAGAGCAUGUAUGCCAUGGGCUGGUGUGGCUUUAGAAUCAUCAUAGAAUCAUUAUGGUUGGAAAAGACCUCCACGAUCACCUGGUCCAACCAUUAGCGCUGGACCAAUCUUAAGUGCUGUUGGUGUCUGCCUCCUGCUGUCUGGCAAGCAGAUAAGUAACAGAUCCCAAGCUUCAUCCUCAUAAUAAAGAUGCAGUUGAGGAAAUCUGUUGAAGAUGCCGGUAAUGCUGUGCAGUAGAUUUGAGAGAACAAGCUGAAAAACGGGAAUAACCAUAAAGGAGGUUACCCACAGAAAGCUGUGAAGAAAUGAGACAGAAAAGCCUCCCACAAGUUUCUUAAAUGAAUGAGGGUCUACAGAAACGCAAGGAGGAGGACUCCAUGAACUGCAGGCUGGGCGGCAUCACCUCAGUCGCUGAAGAACUUAUGGAGCAAGUCAUGUUGGAAGCGACUUCCCAAGCAUCCAAAGAGCAAGAAGAUAAUUGAGAACGGCACAAACUGAGCAAGACAAGUGAUUCCUGACCAAUUCAUUACCUCCUAGAAUUAAGUGACAUCUCUGUGGAUGAAGCAAUAGCAGUGGGUGUUGUUUACAGUGACAAGGCUUCUGACAUGAUCUCCAAAGCAAUCUUUGUCCAAAGCUAAACUGUGGGUAUGUGUAUGGGAUAGCGGAUGGAAGAUUGGACUGUUGACUCAAGGAAUGAUGAUGAAUGGUUUGAUGAAUGGUUUGGAGUCAAACUGGCAGGCAGCUUCAGUCGAUCAGCACUGGGGCUGAUUCUGAUGAACAUCUUCAUCAGGAUGAAGGGGCAACACAUCCCCUCAGCAAGUUCGUGGAUGAAACCAAAUUGUGGGGUGGGGAGCAGUUGCUGCUUGGAUUGGAGCAGAGCUUCACUUCAGAAGAACAUCAACGAGGUUCACAAGGCAAAGGCACUGUUUUGCCAACAUGAAUUAGUACAGGCUGGGGGCCAACUGGCUAGAAAACAUAAGGAAAAGUUGAGAGAGCCAUGCUUGUUUACCCAGGACAACUGAUGGCUAAAAGAGGAUCCACUUGCAGUCUUCCACUACCUCAAGGAGGGAUAUAGAGAGAGGGAUGGAACCUGAAAACAGGACAAGGUGCAAUGGGUACAAUGUGAGGUAAUUUUAUUUCACAGUGAGGGUGCCUAAAACUGGAGUGGGUUGCCCAGAGAGGCUGUGAAGUCUCUGUCCUUGCAGGUACUGUAACUUGUUCAGUCCCUGAGCAACCUGAUUUCACUUUGGGAUGUGCCCUGUUUUGAGGAGGAGCUCGAGCUUGGUGAUCACUUCCAACCUAAAUUAUUCUGUAAUUAACCUAUUCCAUAAUAUACCUCAAUCUGUGGACGUGACAUCCUUCUGAGGUGUAGGAGAGAUGGAGGAGAUGGGAAAGAAGCUUGAGAUUUGGAAGUCAUUGCGUGGGCUUUUGUGGGAGAUUCUUGGUUAGCCCUUGCAUCAGCUCUCCUGAUCUGCAUGGAAGCACUGAUCCUUCAGAGGUACCGCAGAGCUCUGCUAAUGCCUCAGUAGCAGCAUACAGGACACAAGACUGACACUCUCAGCUGGAUUCUGGACUCGACCAUGCUGCUGAUCUGCUAAUCCACAAGUCCCUGAUGUUUGCUUCACCCUCCCAUUCCUUCCCUAUUUAGACUGCAAACUUUUAGGAUCACGAAGUAUCUUCUCACUAGUUGUUCUGCACACAGCACGCCCUGGCCUCAUACUGGGUAUGGACUGUAAGUGCUGUUUUUUUGUAAAAUGCCAUCUGAGAUGAACAGUGCUGUUAAAACGUGAAGUAAACAGCUGGAAUUUCACUCAGACUCCAUUAGUCAUGUAAGACUGAGAGAAAAUUAAAGUCCUCAAUGCUGUACUGCUCCCACUAAGAGGCUUAAAUGAACUUGUACUGGGUAUCAAAAUGUUGGCAGCAGUGGCUGGAGACUGGCAUUGAAUUAGAGUAAUCUGGGAGGAGAGAGGCUGAAGAGCCUUGUUGUAGUUAAUGGAACAAGAUGAAGCAGAAGAUCUGUAUUUGCUCAUAAAAUUCUGCUUGCCCCAAAAUAAAAACAAAGUUUUGAGGCUUUUUGUGGGGCUGAAAUGCUUAUGCAGCGUGGUGGAAGGCUUUGUGCUGAUCUGGUAGCGUUAAUUCCUGCGGGGUACUGUGAACCUCUGACUUCCAAUUAAUGUUGAUGUAAAGUGCUUACAGGAUUUAUGAGCUGGAAUUAAGAAAAAUAACCAAUGUGGACUGCUGCCACAGGCUCUAGAGAUUCUCUUUUAGCCAACUUUGCUGCCAUUAGAAUUGCUUCUGGCAAAGUCCCGCGGCUUGCUUUCUUUCCUUUUCCAAAAUGGAAGGAAAUGCCAGAUCGAUCACUCUGUAGGCAUGUGCUUCUGGCAGCUCCUUACAGAGGCAACCGGGGCAGCUUGAAGAGUUCAGAGACCCAGCAAAGUGUUCUCAUUGCAUUGCCACCUCUGAGGCAAUGGGUGAGCAGCCCUAAAGCCUGGUCCAUGGCCGGGGCACUUUAGCUCACUGAUGGAAGAGACUUUCCAGGUGCCCCACAGGUGAUAGAGUAGCCCUGUGUCGUUCCCUACUCCUGGGCUGUGGGACUGGGGGUAUGACUGGGGUGUGAUACGGGUGCCUCAGCCCCCCGAGGGGGUUUGCUCCCACACGCAGCAGCCACCAGGCUGAUUUCUGGGGGUCAGACAAGGGAACCCUGAGCUGUGCUCGCUGCUUUCUUUACCCUUCACAAACUGUACGAAGCCUAGAUCUGACGGUGAUGUGGCUUUUCAAAAUACAUUCAUUUGGCUCAGGAAUUUUUGUUCAGAAUUCCCCAAGGAUUCUCACCUACUGAGGGUAUAAAGCUGUGAUUGAAAUUAUUCUGGGAAUGGUAGUUAUUGAAUAGAUACUAGUCUCAGGUUUGUAUUAACUUGUCCUUUGCUCAGCUUUGCUCAGAUAGGGCUACUGUGAACAUCCUGCAGGUGACUCCGAGGGCUCUGAAUUUCAUUUUGCUACCACUUGUCUGAUUAUUCCUUACGGGAGGUGUUUGUAAAGUGCUUCAAAAUCUACGUAUGAAUGGUGUCAUAAAAGUGAAAGUCUGCUCCUUGGCAAUGCCAGGAAAAGCAGGCAUUGCUGUGAAUGUGGCCCGUGGAGUCAUCCUCGGCAGCUCCCUUAGCAUUACUUGGCUUUAUGAAAAAAUAAAUAAAACAAUGGGGUAUGACUGGGCUCAUUAAAAACCUAUUUCGUUAUUAAGCAUCCUAUAAAGAACAGACUGUAAUAUCAAUUACUGGCUUCAGCAGUUUGGGGAGAUAGGAGUGCCAAAGUACAUGAAAGCCAAUAUGCACCGAUGGUAUCAUCAUUGAUUUUCAUAGGACAACGGGAGGCAAGGAUGGGAAUUGAUAUUGCAGUGAUGUCCUGGGUAAUUGGCCGUUUCAGUGAUUCGGUAGUAGUCCUGUAGGUGAGGGGAGAGGUGCCCCUCUUUGUGCCUCUUCCAUACUAAUGAGUUUAGUCCUUUGUCUUUUCUGCUUGUUUCUUUUGUAGGAGAGCUCUAAGUACCUGGUCUUGGCUCGAGAGCACUUGGCAUCUCGCAGGAUCAGGAGCUGUGCCUGCUGAAGCUUGCUGCGUUUAAUUUAAUUGUAUCACUUUAUUCACUGUUACUGACUCCAUAUAUCCCAAGGGGAACGCGGCGAAAGGAAAAGGGGGGAGCACCAGUAAACUGGAAUAGCAGGAAGAAGGAACUAAUUGUAAACUGCUUUGAAAUGUGCCUUCUGUAAGCAAUGCUGUCCUCCCAGGUGGCCAAGAGCUUAACUAUUGGAAAGCCCUGCAGUAAACUUCGGUUUUCUUUCGGUGGCAUAACUGAGUGUAUUGAUAACGCUUAAUUACAAGCACUGACUACAAUGGGUUUUCUAAUCAGGGAAGAUUGUCAAGUGGAUAGGACCGAAACCCAGGAAUCGUUGUGAUCGGAAUUUAUAGUGAGGGUCAUACAGAGGGUUAAUAAAAGACUUAAUAGAUAUUUGAGUAAAAGGCAAAUCAGCAAUUACAGUCCAAUAGGUUGCUUCUAAUCGUUGCCUUUAACUGUCCAUUAAACCUUCUAAUGAUACCGUCAGCUCCAACACGUAAAUCUUACAACCACACCAUCUUUCUAGCAUGUUAUAGUCAUUUAACCUUUAUAAAAUAUUUAUCAGUGGAACCUUUUUGUAACUGGAGCCCAUAUUUUGUGCCUGUGGUUUCCCCUCUGCAUGCUGCUUAUCGUGCAGAUCAAUAGUGUCUCACUGCUUCCUUGCACACCCCCAUCUGCCUGCGUGUAAGAAAGGAGAAUUUUCUUAAGAUCAGCACCCCCGUGCUACUGUGGAGUUCUGCAUUUAAUUACAUGCACAAAUAUUUUGAAUGGCUUCCAAAAGAUUUGUUCAGGAAAUGCCAGAAUGAACGUCCCAAAAGAGGCAGGUGCAACGUGGAUACCAAGGGCUCCCAUCUCACAGCACGUGAAACUGGGAGGUUGGACUCCCUGUGAUGCUGUAAUUAAAGCUGCAUUCCUCCUCUUCCUCUCCGUGCCCUGUGGCAGGACCCACAUGCUGGUGCAGGUGGGAGGAAGGCCCAGUGAUGUGUCAUUUGGUGGAUUCACUGAUAGCCCGUUUUGAAGCAGGAGGGUGUUUCUGAAGCAGAUCUCCCAGCUGGCAUCACUUACUGCACAUUUAUUUGCAUCACAGAGCAGCUGUGAAUUAGAUGAACUAGAUUGCUUUCAGAGGAAACUAAACCAGAUCAUCUGCUGUAGGUAUCUACCAAAUGUGCCCCAGUCCCUAGUACUGGGGACUACUGAAACUAUGAAUUGCCUGCAAGCACCAUGAAGUUCCCAAGCAUGAAGCAGACACACACCAAGAAAGGGCUCGUGAAUUUUUGGGAGCUUGUGCAGCACUAUGAAUGUGCUUCUAGGGCUAUACAAAGGCCCACACGGCAGAUGGACUGUCUGCUGCUUCUGCCUCCCAGAGGAUCCAACAAGGGGUCAAGGAGGAGAUAAGAAGAUCACAAGUGGUCCACAGCAUCUAUAACCUAUAAGCCUUUGACCAAGCAGAGUCCCAUCCUGACUUGCCCUACCCAGGGAGCUCCCUAAGGAAAAUAAGAUUUGUGUCCUGCGAUGCAGUUCCGUGCAGGCUAAAGCUACAAGAGAGCUGCUGGAAAAUUGCAGGAACAAUGAUUUAUUCCUGGGCUGAGAGCUGAACAAGGGGAAACACAUAAACACUGCACUAUAGGCACAAAAGGUGAUUAUUUUUGCCACAUGAAACUGCUUUAAAAUUCAUGGGGAAAAGUAAUUUUUGAUAGUACGGUGUAGGUGUUUUAGUCCUUAUAAAAAUAGCUACGGAAGGAAUGUUUGUUUGUCAGAGACUCAAUCUUUGCUUUACCACUCAGGUAUUUUUAAUGACUUUCCUUGAAUAAGACUGAGUGUGGUUAUGUUUAUUGAUGGAUGAAUUUGGAUGAUUACAGCAGACUAAAAUUGCAGAAUCAUUACGAUAGCAAAAACAAAUCUGUGGCCUUACUGUAUUUUUCCUGAGCAAGUUUUCUUGGGAGAAAAGCUGUGAUCAUUCUAUUUGAUUGGAUUUUUUUUUCUGGUUAUAUGUAAAUAUUUUGGUGGAUAAAUGUACUGCUUUUCUGGGUGCUAGACUCUGAAUCAUACAUGAAAUCAGAGUAAAGUAGGAGUAGUUUUGCCACUAAAAUGUAUAUAAAAGUAAUUGUCUGUUUCUUUGUCAAUGUUUACAAUUAAUAUAAUUCAGAUUUAGUAUGAUCUUCAUGACCCUAAGCAGAAUUGUUUUGCCAGAUGUUUGUUUUUAAUUCUCCAUAUUCCCCAAAUUUCUGGUCCAAUCUUCUGUAGAUCAGGGUACAGUAUUACUAACGAAAGAUUAAAAAAUAAUAAUAAUAAAAAAGUCCCA